rnacentral:rRNA from 1 species
CGCGUAGGCGGCCCGCUAAGUCGAACGUGAAAUCCCUGGGCUCAACCCAGGAACUGCGUCCGAUACUGGCAGGCUUGAAUCCGGGAGAGGGAUGCGGAAUUCCAGGUGUAGCGGUGAAAUGCGUAGAUAUCUGGAGGAACACCGGUGGCGAAGGCGGCAUCCUGGACCGGUAUUGACGCUGAGGCGCGAAAGCCAGGGGAGCAAACG